rnacentral:lncRNA from 1 species
AGGGUGGUAUACUGCAUAUGAAAAGAAAGAACUGCAGGAUAUUUCCUACUCAGAGAAGCAAUGGAAGAAAUUUACGAACAUUGUAGGUUUGGAAAGUUACAGAAAAAUAUCAAACCAUUAUAUAUUCUAUUAAAUCCAGCUACUCCUCCCCCCCCAUUUUUUUGUUGAAUAGCGUGGAAACACUGGGGGUCUAUGGCAUUGGUAGGCAACCUAGGGCCCGGGGGGCCUGAUCUGGCCCAAUUGCCUUCUAAAUCUGGCCCACAGACGGUCUGGAAUCAGCGUGUUUUUACAUGAGUAGAAUGUGUCCUUUUAUUUAAAAUGCAUCUCUGGGUUAUUUGUGGGGCAUAGGAAUUCGUUAAUUUUUUUUUCCCCCCAAAAUAUAGUCCGGCCCACCACAAGGUCUGAGGGACAGUGGAUCGGCCCCCUGCUGAAAAAGUGCUGAUCCCUGGUCUAUGGCUUCAUCUGUUUGUAGAAUUGGAUGUUGUGGCAUUGACCAGGACAUGUCUCUAUCCAGAUUACUUUGCUUCUGGGAUACCUUUGCUUAGGUCCACCCUUUCCUCCUUUUAAGCUGCACGAAUCUCUAAAAAUUUGUGAACAGAGGAUGGCUCACUAAAAAGAGUAAGUCCCACAUUACCCUAUGUUUCCCAUCAACUUGCCAAGCCAGGUUUUCUGUUGAUCAGCCAGUUGAGCAACCAAGACUGUUAAUUGCCAGUUAGCAGCAGUUGCCAGCAAUCCCAUUUCCCAUUCAUGUUAUCUAUUACAGGCACUGGAAGAACUAAGAGCUGCCAGGGUCCACUUGACUGUUUAAACAAAACAGGGCUCUCAUACAGAAGCAACUAAAACUCACUAAAGCAAAAUACAUGAAACUCUAAUAAAUUUGGAAUUGGUGCAGCAUACCUACCGUAUUUUUCGCUCCAUAAGACACACUUUUUUCCUCCUAAAAAGUAAAGGGAAAUGUCUGUGCGUCUUAUGGAGCGAAUGCGUGGUCCCUGGAGCCGAAUUGCCCAGGGGUAAAAGGCAGAUUGUGCUUUUUUUUUUUUUAUAAAGAGGGAAGGGGGUGUUGAAACAAAGCCGCUGAGCAGCUGAUUGGCAAGCGAUGGGAGGGAGAUAAGGGACUCUAGAGAUAAAGGAGGCUGCCUGGGAGAGGGAGGUAAAAGCACAUGGAUCCUCAGAAUUUUUGCAUUGGGUCACUCCCAAUUCACCAUCAGAUCACAUAGCAUGUCCAUGGCUACAGCUUACACCAAAAAACCCACGCACCCACUGUUUUGUGGGGCUGCAAUGGUGCAAAAACAUAGUUACAAAACACAGAUCCACAUGGAUUCUCAGGAUUUUUGCAUUGGGCUACCCCAAACUCACCGUCAAAUCAUAUAUCAUGUCUGUGGCCACAGCAUGAACCGCAAAAAUCAUACAUCCACUGUUUCGUUCAGAAUAUUUUUUUUCUUGUUUUCCUCCUCUAAAAACUAGGUGCGACUUAUGGCGUGAAAAAUAUCAGCAUGAUAGAAAACCACAUGCUGAGUGUGUUGGCUGGAGGAGAAGAUCUGCAAAACAGAAGCGUUGUGGAGGAGUGCAGCUACGUGUCUCUAAAGAAAUAAGAUUGCCUUGUGUGCAGCAAGUCUACCCAGUUCGAAAGAGAAGAACAAGCUGUUCAUAUCUUUAUUAAAUUUGCUUACUGCCUUUCUACAACUAAUCACCCAAGGUGGCUAACAUGCAAUUAGAAGCGAAAAACUGUAUAUAUAAAAAACAAAAUGUAAAAGAAACAUGGGUCACAACUACUCAUUGAAAACAUGAGCUGAUAAAACCUAUGGUAACACAUUAAAAUAUCAGCCAGCUAAAAGGCUAAAAGUUAGCAGCACCAACAAAUUACUGCCAUGGGCAAAAAGCUUGUCUAAACAGGAAGGUUUUCAUGUGCUGAUGGAAGGAGGCUCAGAGAGAAAGUUAAGUCGGCACUGCUCUGGGGAGAGUUGCAAAGGUACAAUCACCAAGAAGGCCCUCUCUCAUCUCUCCCACGAGCAGGAUAUAGAUGCUAGCAAGACAUAGGAAAGAGUCUUUCCCGAAGAUCUUAAAACCUAGGUUGACAUCCUUGGAAUGGAUGCAUCAAUCCACUCAUUCCAAGUUUUCUUAGAAGUUGCUGCUAAGGCAAAAUAUCCCAUACUAGGAUCACCGCAGUCUUGCUAUACCUGUUUGUACUCUCUUGUAAGCAGCCAGUGACUCCUGGGUUCUAGAUUUGAGUGAAGAGAGAUGGAGCUUCUCCAGCCCUGAGCCUGUCACAAAAGCCAUUUGCCUGGUUGGAAUAAAGCAUGAAAAUUUGCCGCCAGUAGUUUCACCAAAUGGCUGCAACGAAAAACAAGAUCUUUCUCAAAAGUAUCACAACACUUUUCCUAUAGUGCCUGGAAGACCUGCAGGUGUGGUGUGUCUCCGAGCACAACAAUAAAACAUUUCCUUGUUAUCUAAUCUGCCUUAUUUCCCUUCUUUACUCUGUUUACCAUGGCC